GUAUAGGUUAGAAAAAAAAAAAGAAAAAAAAAUCCGUCCUCAGCUGGUUGAUACAAAAUGUCUGACCCAAGAUCCGUCCGCGGCGGAAAGGAGAAUGUGGAGAGCGUGGUAACGCCCCCUUUCCCUCCCCAGUUCUACCCGAUGCCCGGCUACCAGGGGCCCCCUUGGUUUCCCGGCCAGGUCCCCGCGGGUCCCCCUCCCCCAUGGCCCGCGUCAUGGAGCUCUGCCCCCGUGGGCUUCCCGGCGCCUCCCACGGCCUGGUCGUCCCCGCAGAGCAUGAUGCCCUCGAGCACGACCAGCACGACGGCGGCGAUCCCGUCCGACGAGUACACGGUGGACACCAUGCGACGCAUCUACAACGACGACGACGGGCGCGUCGAGAUCCAGCGGGUGAAGGUCCAGCGACGCCCUCCCGACGCGGGCGCCAUCGCGUAUCCCAGCGGCCCCGAGGCCAUGAGCGUCGUACCCGUGGGGAGCUUUCCCCUCAACGAGCGCCGCCCUCCGCCGAGGAAGAAGAAGCAGCUCCAGGCUCUGCAGGCGGCGCAGGGGCAGGGCUACCCUUGGUACCCCUACAUGCCGUGCAUGCCGUACCCCGUUCCCUACCCCUAUUAUUACGGCGGGUGCAUGUGGACCCCUGGCGCGCCGACGAGUCACAUGGGCAGCGUCCCCGCCUGGUCGGGCCAGGAGGAGAGUGAAAGGACGUCGUCGCGACAGGACUCCCUCCCGACCACCCUCGACUCCCAGCGCCUCGAGUCCCGCACCUCCGACCCCCUGCGAGGCUCCAUCUCCCCCGUCUCGCAGCGCUCGCCCUCGCCCGCCGCCGGCUCGCACGUCACGGACGCCCACAGCCUGGCGCCCUCGGACAGCGUGUCGAUGCGGGGAUACAAGCGCGAGUCGUCGCUGGAGCGGGCGCUCAUGUGCCCCACGCCGCCGCCGCGCACCAAGAGCAGGAGCUCGGAGAGGAAGUCAAGCACCGACGUCGGGAAAAUGCAGGAGUGGAUGGUCGACAUGCACAAGGCUAUUCUCGGCCCUAACGACGGGGCUUCAGACAGGGCCUCCUACGCGACCGCGCCGACGGACGUGGAGCCGUACAAAAGACUGCCGCCCAGGAGGAAGAAACACGCGGCGAGGCUCGCCAAUUUGAGCGGAAGGGGCUCCAUAGCCGACCAAAAGGAGCUGGAUGAUGCUCUUGAGAAACGUAGCAUUACGUCGAUCGGGUCAGACGACUCUUUGAAAUUAAGUUCAGAGCUUACUUACGCUUUUAGGAAGUUAGAACAAUCAGUGGAUGCAUUCAAGACAAAAGUUUCAAGCGAUUCCACCCCAGUCCACACCCCACAGCGGAUGCCUUCCCCGCCUCCCUUGCAUUCCAGCGGCGAUGACACGCCCACAGAAGCAAUGGAAGACGCGUUAGUAUCUCUCGACGUCACCGGCGCGGAUAAAGGUGUCACAGACGUCACCUCGGCAGAGGAACCAUCGUCUCCUCCUCCUUUAGAGACGAUCUCUCCGACUUUCUUCAACGAGGGACAGGCCGCACAGACGUCGAAGGAGGAAGGACAAACCGUUGCCAAAGCCGAGGAUAUUCCAUCAUCUUUAACCACUUCAGAGACGAGCAGUUCCCAGACCUCCGUGGCAACGACUUUACAGACCACAGACGUCAGCGCGGCCCAGCCAGGCGAGGCCGAACCAGCAAAGACAACACCCCCCGCAGCAUCUCCCGAGGCCAAGGAAACCCACCCAGCAUCACCACAGACCACAGAGGGAACGCCGGCCUCCCUCUCCACAGAGAAGCCAACAGAGGAAACCCAAACCAUCCCUAAAACAACAGAAACCACAUCCACCGCCACGCCAACAGAACAACAGACCCCAGCCCUCGAUAAAACGGCUCCCCCCCACCCUCCACUCCCCUCAGACGUCGAAGCCAAAGCGAAUGAAGCGGAAGAGGCUAGUGGUAGAGAAUCAAGAGCAAGUGAGAGCACUUUCUUCUCCAUCAGAGCUUCGGACGAUCAGCUGCUCGUAGACACAGACUCCACAGACAUCUUGCUGCCCACCACAGAUGCUACCACCGCAGAUGAGGGUGAGGAACACACAGAUUCCACGGUAGCGAGUCCUACGCUGGAGGAAGGCAACGAAGGAUACCAGUGGGUCCUGCAACAACCCGGGGAAACGCCAGAGCUCACCGGCGCCAAGGAAGAUGAACAGAAGAAUGCGUGGCGCGCUGAAGUGAGCCUGUGGAGGGCGCGUCUCGUCGUGUCCCUAUGUCGAGGACGAGGCUUAGAUCGCCAAGACUGGUCCACAUUCCACCUCCUGGUCCGCCACCCUCUCACGCUCGACCUCAAGCUCUCCCUCCUGCACGCGCCUCGACUCUGCGCCGCCAAUUCCACCGUCGGCGCGGCGCUAGUGAGAGUGGCACUCAUCCAUCUGGCACAGUACGGCGAGGCUUUGUUGCAGCCCGACUCCUCCAGGCAGACCGGCUGGAGGUCCAUCAAGGUGGAUCCCAACCAGUCUUGGGCUCCUGUCAAGGGCGCCAUAGAAAUCCUUCAGGCGUUAGGGUACAAGCAGCGAGAGGACGGCGUACUCCGGUACCCUCGACGUUCAACUACCGAGGUAUCGGUCCUGGCACGUCUCACGCUAGACAUGCUCGUCUUGGCAGAGGAACUUCGCCUCUACUUGACCGGGAUGCACCAGUACCCGACCAACAUCUCCGACCUGUUCUUCUCGGCCACCAGCCCCAUCACCCCCUCGCCGGACCCUCUGAUGCAGGAUAUGCCUCCAAGACCACAGUCCUCCGCCAGCUCGUACAGUUUCCUCUCGGCUCAGUCAAGUGCUUCUCUUGAUCGAAGGCCCGACAGCAGACUGUCCGUGACGGACGAGGAGACAGAGACUCUCCAGAUUUCCGUGCAGCACACCAAGGGUUCCACCAAGAAGGCGCGUAGGGAUUCUUCUUCUGAAGAGGAAGUGACCUUACGAGAAGACAGUAAGGAUGCGAAAGGAGACAGCACCGAAGCAGUGCAGGACGAACUUGGCGGUGAGAUGCCCUCGGAAGAAGCUCCGUUGCCCACGGAAGUCUUGCGGAAAAAGGAGGACAUACGGUCGGGCUCAGUGCUAUCCCUCCCCGUGAAUCCUAUAGACAGGUCCUCACUCAGUACGAUGACUAGUAUGCCGGAUCUACAGUCUCUUCGCUCCAGCACCGUUUCCCGAGACAGCCAACAUCGUCCUAACAGCAACAACUCCGCCGCCCCAGCUUCCACGCCGACAGGAGAGGCUCCGACAGGGAAUGACAACCCCGAAGACCAUAUUUACGAAGAAAUCGACGUGAUUCGGGCACAGGUUCAGGCGCUAAGAUCUGCGAGUGUCCCAGCUCACUCCCCGCCGCCUCCUCUGCCCCCAAAGAAGAAGGUGAGUUCCGGGGGAGAAGACGACUCAAACUUGAGCGUAACUUACCCCAGCAUGGAGUGGACGUCCGCCUCCACCCCAGGCUCCCUUAGAGGUGGCUCGACGGGCGCUCGAAGGAAGAAGAGGAGAGCGCCAAUGCCUCCCGAUUUCAUGCCUCCAGACUGGAGACCUUACCAGAACAGAGAUGUACAAAGUGCGAGCAGCCCAACCCAAGAUCGGCAGUUGCCUGAAAGCCUCGACGAAUCAAAAGAGAGUGAGGAAGAAAGGAAGAAAAAGGAAGAAUACAGAAGAUCUCUGAAUCCAUUCUACGAGGACAUUGACUCUGUUAAAGAGAAAGUCAAAGAAAUCAAAGCUAAAGAAGAAGAAAAGAAUCCAUUUGUAAAGGAGGAUGUUGCAGUAGCGGGAUACAUAGGGAAGAAUCCAUUCUAUGAAGACGUUGAACUUUUAAAGAAAGACACAAAUGAAACUGCUGAGACAACUAUAAAGAACAAGGACUAUGAUAAGCUUCAGAAUACACGGACGAGUGAAGAUGCCUCAUCCCUGAAACAGGACGGGAAGGUAUGUGGCAUGGGAUCUCUGGCAGAACUUCAGGACGACACUGUCUUGAGUAGACCAAAGAGGAAGGCGCCUCGUCCCCCACCCACGCCAGAUCCAACUUCUAUUUCAGUCGCAGAAAACACCUCAGCGACAAUCUCGAGUUCUGAAGUCACUGAAUCAACCGCAUCUACACAGCAAUCCCCAUCCGCUCCACAGCCUGCCACUUCUUCGCGGCCUCCAUCCGCCCCACAACGGCCGCCAACCCCACGCUCUUCAUCCAUUCCACGAACUGCUUCCACCCCUCAACCCUCCUCAACCGACCCGUCAACCCCACAGCAUCCUCCAACCCCCCAGCGCCCCCCAACUCCAAAGCGACCUGCGACGCCUCGAAGAGCUUCCACCCAAGAAGCUUCCGCCACUCCCGAUGUUCCCAAUCAAGAGGAACCGGUCAAGAACGCCGAUGCCGAUGACACCAGGCCGCCAAUACCCGUCAAGCUCCGAAAUGGAGAGAAAAAUAAUGCCAACACCUCCUCAAAGGCAGCUGCAUCCCAAAGUGCACCCCAAAGUAGUCCUCAGCCACAGCAAGACGUCAAAGAACCGGAAAGCCAAAAGGAACAGGAGAGUCGAGACAAAACCGAAGAGGCGAGGCAAGUAGUCUCAAGAGCCAUCAAGAACCAGCAACAACGCCUGCAGCUCCAGCACCCGAAGACACCACCUCCGCCGCCACCGGCAGCCUCUAAGCCGGCGUCGCCUCCUUCAGAAGCCAAAGCCCUUGAAGAGACGAAAAAAGAGCCUAAAAAUGACCAGUCGGCGACGACGCCAUCAAAAGCCUCGCUGGCCUUUCUGGAAGACAUUCCUUACAUGGAUGCAAAUGAAGUCAAAGAUGCCAAGUCGAAGACUUCGGAAGCCAAGGACCAGCAGACCUCCCAGUAUGAGAUCCCAGAGCCCCCUGGCAAAGUCGUCGUGCCCGCCCAACUCUCCCCGACUGUCAUGAGGCAAACUGCCCUUCUGCUGCGAGGAUCGCGUAUGGUUCCCUUCAUUGAUGAGUCUGACCUCCCCCCCGACUGCCCCCCACCACCUCCGCCAGGACCUCCACCUGAUUCGCCACCGACGUCACCCCCUGAAACACCCCAUACCUCUCCUCCUGAGACCCCCCACACCUCCCCUCCCGAGACUCCCCAGGGGUCACCCGUUCCAUCCCGUGUUACCAUUUCCCUCCCCGGCGCCGUUACCGCAGCCGCCCCCAACCCCGGAGUGAAGAAAACGGAGUCAGACAAACCGCCGGAGACCAGGCAGCUCGGUGACACAGCAGACGCGUCACAGAAAGCAGAAGACAAAGACCAGCCCCCUGCACUACCCCCCAAAACAUCACCAUCAAGUACGUCACCGAAGACGAAGACCACCGAAAGUAGACAAACGACGGAACAAACAACGCCACAAAGAAAGCCCUCCGACGACAAGCCACCAAAGGCGACGCGUCCCCAAGACUCAACCGGAGCAGAGCAACCAAAGAAAGAACACGAACCGGCAUCCAGCCAGCCUUCCGUUCGAAGCUCGGUAUCCGAAGACAGGUACGAGAUCCCGGACACUUCGAAGCCCCUCCCAGCGAGCCCAGAGCCAAGCCAAGCCGCCAAGACCGACUCGGCAGACGACCCAAAGGGCACGACUCAAAGCCCGCCAAAGGAUCAGCCUAGCGAGCCUUACGUUCCCACUUCGGAAUCUGACAAGUAUGAGAUUCCUGAGGUGGCGAAGGAGGCCGUGGUGGAGGAGCGUUAUGAAAUUCCUGAGGUCGUCAAGGAGACGGCGGCUAACGGUGGAGCCAGCAGUGUGAAAACGGGCUCUAAUUCUUGCAUUCUCCUCUGAUUCCUCUUUAUCAAGAUGUAGCCCAUUUGGCAGACGGGGCGCCGUAGACAAUAGUAUUGAUGCAACAAUUAGAAGGUUUUUCGCAGAUGUGUCUUUAGCUAAGGGUGUCCCCUGAUUCACUUCAUAUUGAGAAAUUCUCAGCCCCGCUCCUUCCUGGGCCCCAUCGUGGCGUCCGGCCGCAGCAACCUGGAGGCGGUGUUCGGCCCCCCCAAGCCUCCCCGACGCCGCCGCAACCACCACUCCCCCCCGCCCCCGCGACCCCCAAAAUCGAGCUC
rnacentral:misc_RNA from 1 species